UACUAAAGGUGCAAGCGUUAAUCGGAAUUACUGGGCGUAAAGCGCGCGUAGGUGGUUUGUCAAGUUGGAUGUGAAAGCCCAGGGCUCAACCUUGGAACAGCAUCCAAAACUGGCUCACUAGAGUACGAGAGAGGUUAGUGGAAUUUCCUGUGUAGCGGUGAAAUGCGUAGAGAUGGGAAGGAACACCAGUGGCGAAGGCGACUGACUGGCUCGAUACUGACACUGAGGUGCGAAAGCGUGGGGAGCAAACGGG
rnacentral:rRNA from 1 species